rnacentral:tRNA from 1 species
UACUCACUAUCGGAUUUGAACCGAUACCCCAAAAAACUGGGAACAGAUUUUGAAUCUAUCGUGUCUACCAAUUUCACCAAGUGAGU